CGUACACUCCUACGGGAGGCAGCAGUGGGGAAUAUUGGACAAUGGGCGCAAGCCUGAUCCAGCCAUGCCGCGUGAGUGAUGAAGGCCCUAGGGUUGUAAAGCUCUUUCACCGGUGAAGAUAAUGACGGUAACCGGAGAAGAAGCCCCGGCUAACUUCGUGCCAGCAGCCGCGGUAAUACGAAGGGGGCUAGCGUUGUUCGGAUUUACUGGGCGUAAAGCGCACGUAGGCGGACUAUUAAGUCAGGGGUGAAAUCCCGGGGCUCAACCCCGGAACUGCCUUUGAUACUGGUAGUCUUGAGUUCGAGAGAGGUGAGUGGAAUUCCGAGUGUAGAGGUGAAAUUCGUAGAUAUUCGGAGGAACACCAGUGGCGAAGGCGGCUCACUGGCUCGAUACUGACGCUGAGGUGCGAAAGCGUGGGGAGCAAACAGGAUUAGAAACCCCAGUAGCCCAUG
rnacentral:rRNA from 1 species